UGGGGAAUCUUGGACAAUGGAGGAAACUCUGAUCCAGCCAUGCCGCGUGAGUGAUGAAGGCCUUCGGGUUGUAAAACUCUUUCGGCGGGGACGAUAAUGACGGUACCCGCAGAAGAAGCUCCGGCUAACUUCGUGCCAGCAGCCGCGGUAAUACGAAGGGGGCUAGCGUUGUUCGGAAUUACUGGGCGUAAAGCGCGCGCAGGCGGCUCUUCAAGUCAGGGGUGAAAGCCCAGAGCUCAACUCUGGAAUUGCCUUUGAGACUGUAGAGCUUGAGUACGGGAGAGGUGAGUGGAAUUCCCAGUGUAGAGGUGAAAUUCGUAGAUAUUGGGAAGAACACCGGUGGCGAAGGCGGCUCACUGGCCCGUUUCUGACGCUCAGGCGCGACAGCGUGGGGAUCAAACAGGAUUAGAUACCCCUGUAGUCC
rnacentral:rRNA from 1 species